rnacentral:rRNA from 1 species
UGGGGAAUAUUGGACAAUGGGGGGAACCCUGAUCCAGCCAUGCCGCGUGUGUGAAGAAGGCCUUAUGGUUGUAAAGCACUUUAAGCGAGGAGGAGGGUACUGGUAUUAAUACUACCAGCUACUGGACGUUACUCGCAGAAUAAGCACCGGCUAACUCUGUGCCAGCAGCCGCGGUAAUACAGAGGGUGCGAGCGUUAAUCGGAUUUACUGGGCGUAAAGCGUGCGUAGGCGGCUAAUUGAGUCGGAUGUGAAAUCCCCGAGCUUAACUUGGGAAUUGCAUUCGAUACUGGUUAGCUAGAGUGUGGGAGAGGAUGGUAGAAUACCAGGUGUAGCGGUGAAAUGCGUAGAGAUCUGGAGGAAUACCGAUGGCGAAGGCAGCCAUCUGGCCUAACACUGACGCUGAGGUACGAAAGCAUGGGGAGCAAACAGG